GGACGGGUGGCCGAGUGGCUUAAGGCGCACGCCUGGAAAGCGUGUGGGCAUGCGAAUGUCUCGUGGGUUCAAAUCCCACCCCGUCCG
rnacentral:tRNA from 1 species